CUUGUCUCUUACGCAUCUUAAUUGCUUGAUCAGUUCCACUUGGCAACUGAUAUUGAAGAGAAAACCCAAUCAAAAAUAUAUACACGAUUGGUAAUUAACUGUCUACAGAAACAGUUACAGCAUUUAUUACAAUAUGGACUUGAAAAACAUAAAGUAACGUUUAUAGCCAAAAGGAAGAAUUCUCUUGAAGCUGUCAGUGUCCACUCUGACUCCUUGACUCUCUCUCUCUAUAUAUUAUUAUAUAAUCACAUGAAAUUGGCAAAAGAGUAUUUUUUUACUUUUAAAGAAUCACCAAUAUGUAUCAUGUUCGAAAGACUCUGCAAAGAUAUUCUACAAACGUAUAACCCUGCUUCUAUAAAACGUUGCUGAAUUACUGUGAAAUAUUUCCUCUGAGAGAGAAAGCAUUUCUUUCCUUUAGUGUCUGAAAUGUGCAAGAGACAAUUUUCUCUUCUAAAUAUUGACAAACAUCACAUUUAGAAGAAAUAUAAGAGAAGUGAUAUAUGUUUGGAAUAAUCUGUAAAAGAAGAAAAAUAGCCAUAUAUUUUGCUGAGAG
rnacentral:misc_RNA from 1 species